GAGUUUGAUCUUGGCUCAGAUUGAACGCUGGCGGCAUGCCUUACACAUGCAAGUCGAACGGCGAGCACGGGAGCUUGCUCCUGGUGGCGAGUGGCGAACGGGUGAGUAAUGCAUCGGAACGUAUCCUGGAGUGGGGGAUAACGUAGCGAAAGUUACGCUAAUACCGCAUAUUCUGUGAGCAGGAAAGCGGGGGACCUUCGGGCCUCGCGCUCUUGGAGCGGCCGAUGUCGGAUUAGCUAGUUGGUGAGGUAAAGGCUCACCAAGGCGACGAUCCGUAGCAGGUCUGAGAGGAUGAUCUGCCACACUGGAACUGAGACACGGUCCAGACUCCUACGGGAGGCAGCAGUGGGGAAUUUUGGACAAUGGGGGCAACCCUGAUCCAGCCAUGCCGCGUGAGUGAAGAAGGCC
rnacentral:rRNA from 1 species